UUGUGUUUCCUCCCAACAGGCAGCCAGGGUUUUAAGGAAAAGUGCCAGGUUGUCCCAGACUUUACAGGAUUACACAGGAUCCCAGGAUUACAUCUGAGAUCGUCAGAUAAAUGUAAAUGAAUGAAACAUCUGAAUUUAGAAGAAAUUGAGUGGGACGUGGGUAAAAAAACUCUGUAGGCUGCAUUAAAAAGCUGAAUCUGCAGCUCAAAUUCUUGGGUAUUCUCUCCUAGGUACACUGGUAAAUAUCUUGAGCAGCCCUGCCUGCAUCAAAGAUUUGUUUGGCUGUGCUCAGCUGUGGACUGAAAGGAGACAGCACAUCGGUUCCCAGUAAAGAGUUAAUCUUCGCUCAAGAUGAGGAUGGGCUGAUAAUACAUCUUUCUCUGAGAGCUGUGGUUUCAAAAAUUCAGCAGUUUCACUCCUGUGAUUUUGCAGUUUGUCUUCUGGAAGGGAUGUGUGGAAUAGAAACAAUGAAGAAGUAAGACCAAAGAAGACAGAAGCCCAGAGGCAAAAAAGACUCCAAACCUGCCUGCAGAGGAGCUUGACAGAGAAGAGGCUGUGCAUGGACAGUGGUACUGAUGACAAAUCCCCUUUGGUCCCUUUGGCUGUUCAGCCAUUAAUCUUUGGGAAAAGUGAGUGGCAGGAGCCUUUGCUGGAAGUGGCUGUGGGGCACAGCAAGCCUUGGCCAGGAGGAGCAGAAGAUAUUUUGCCGACUGAGUCAUGGGUUGAUUUGGGAGGUUUUUUAACUGCUUGUCAUUCCUGGAUGCAAUUCUGAGAUUAAAAAAAAGCCAGUAUUUGCACAGCUUUUUGAUUUCUUGGGACAAACCCUGAAUACAGAAGGGGUGGCUUUGUCCACAGUUUCAGCUGCUGCAGUCAUCAUCAUCAUAAAGGCAGGGAAACAGACCCAAGUGCACCAUGGAAGGUAAGGUGGUUUGUGGUUGGACUUGAUGAUCUGAAAGGUCUUUUCCACCCUAACAGAUUCUGUGAUUCUAUGGCUGGGUGGC
rnacentral:lncRNA from 1 species